rnacentral:rRNA from 1 species
UACGUAGGAGACGAGCGUUGUCCGGAGUUACUGGGCGUAAAGGGCGCGUAGGCGGCGUGGUAAGUCACUUGUGAAAUCUCUGAGCUUAACUCAGAACGGUCAAGUGAUACUGCUGUGCUAGAGUGCGGAAGGGGCAAUCGGAAUUCUUGGUGUAGCGGUGAAAUGCGUAGAUAUCAAGAGGAACACCUGAGGUGAAGACGGGUUGCUGGGCCGACACUGACGCUGAUGCGCGAAAGCCAGGGGAGCAAACAGG